rnacentral:rRNA from 1 species
AUGCACGCUGGCGGCGUGCUUAACACCUGCAAGUCGAACGAUGAAGCCCAGCUUGCUGGGUGGAUUAGUGGCGAACGGGUGAGUCACACGUGAGUAACCUGCCCUUGACUCUGGGAUAAGCCUGGGAAACUGGGUCUAAUACUGGAUAUGACUUCUCAUCGCAUGGUUGGGGGUGGAACGAUUUAUUGGUCUUGGAUGGACUCGCGGCCUAUCCGCUUGUUGGUGAGGUAAUGGCUCACCAAGGCGACGACGGGUAGCCGGCCUGAGAGGGUGACCGGCCACACGGGGACUGAGACACGGCCCAGACUCCUACGGGAGGCAGCAGUGGGGAAUAUUGCACAGUGGUCGCAAGCCUGAUGCAGCGACGCCGCGUGAGUGAUGACGGCCUUCGGGUUGUAAACCUCUUUCAGUAGGGAAGAAGCGAGAGUGACGGUACCUGCAGAAGAAGCGCCGGCUAACUACGUG